AUGCCCUGUGGCAAAGACAGUGUGUCCCCUGUCUUGUUAUUUGUUGCAGCUUGUAGUUGGGGUGGGGGCUUCUGGGCCCCAAGCAGAGCAGGCAGCAGCCUGGGGCACAGGCCCAGCCUUCCUCCAUCACAGCUGCAGGUGGGGGGCUCAGGGGUGGGGCAGAGCCUCCCACAGAGGUUUUUGUAUGAGCCUGUGUCACAGUGUUGGGUGUUCGGCGCAGGGACGCAUCUGACCGUCCUAGGUCAGCCCAAGUCAGCACCCUCGGUCACCCUGUUCCCACCCUCCACUGACGAGCUCGGCAACAACAAGGCCACACUGGUGUGUCUGGUCAGUGACUUCUACCCAGGAGCCGUGACAGUGGCCUGGAAGGAAAAUGGCAGCCCCGUCUCCCAGGGCGUGGAGACCACCAAGCCCUCCAAGCAGAGCAACAACAAGUAUGCGGCCAGCAGCUACCUGAGCGUGUCAGCCAGCAAGUGGAAAUCUGCCAGCCAGUACAGCUGCCAGGUGACCCACGAAGGCAGCACUGUGGAGAAGACAGUGGUCCCCUCGGAGUGUUCCUAGGACACUGAGACCCCACAUUCUGGGACUCUACUCAGCCAGAUCACCCAUUCCCCACCUCUCCACUG